UGGGGAAUUUUGGACAAUGGGCGAAAGCCUGAUCCAGCAAUGCCGCGUGUGUGAAGAAGGCCUUCGGGUUGUAAAGCACUUUUGUCCGGAAAGAAAUGGCUCUGGUUAAUACCUGGGGUCGAUGACGGUACCGGAAGAAUAAGGACCGGCUAACUACGUGCCAGCAGCCGCGGUAAUACGUAGGGUCCAAGCGUUAAUCGGAAUUACUGGGCGUAAAGCGUGCGCAGGCGGUUGUGCAAGACCGAUGUGAAAUCCCCGAGCUUAACUUGGGAAUUGCAUUGGUGACUGCACGGCUAGAGUGUGUCAGAGGGGGGUAGAAUUCCACGUGUAGCAGUGAAAUGCGUAGAGAUGUGGAGGAAUACCGAUGGCGAAGGCAGCCCCUGGGAUAACACUGACGCUCAUGCACGAAAGCGUGGGGAGCAAACAGGAUUAGAUACCCUGGUAGUCCACGCCCUAAAACGAUGUCAACUAGUUGUUGGGGAUUCAUUUCCUUAGUAACGUAGCUAACGCGUGAAGUUGACCGCCUGGGGAGUACGGUCGCAAGAUUAAAACUCAAAAUGAAUUGACGGGGUCAUAGCUGUUUCC
rnacentral:rRNA from 1 species